GAUGAACGCUGGCGGCGUGCUUAACACAUGCAAGUCGAACGGAAAGGCUCCUGCUUGCAGGGGUACUCGAGUGGCGAACGGGUGAGUAACACGUGGGUGAUCUGCCCUGCACUUCGGGAUAAGCCUGGGAAACUGGGUCUAAUACCGGAUAGGACGAUGGUUUGGAUGCCAUUGUGGAAAGUUUUUUCGGUGUGGGAUGAGCUCGCGGCCUAUCAGCUUGUUGGUGGGGUAAUGGCCUACCAAGGCGUCGACGGGUAGCCGGCCUGAGAGGGUGUACGGCCACAUUGGGACUGAGAUACGGCCCAGACUCCUACGGGAGGCAGCAGUGGGGAAUAUUGCACAAUGGGCGCAAGCCUGAUGCAGCGACGCCGCGUGGGGGAUGACGGCCUUCGGGAUGUAAACUCCUUUCGCUAGGGACGAAGCGCAAGUGACGGUACCUGGAGAAGAAGCACCGGCUAACUACGUG
rnacentral:rRNA from 1 species